rnacentral:rRNA from 1 species
AUUGAACGCUGGCGGCAGGCUUAACACAUGCAAGUCGAGCUAGCGGCGGACGGGUGAGUAAUGUAUGGGAAAAUGCCUGAUGGAGGGGGAUAACUACUGGACACGGUAGCUACUACAGCAUAACAUCAGAUGUACCCAGAGGGGAUUAGCUAGUAGGUGGGGUAAUGGCUCACCUAGGCGACGAUCCCUAGCUGGUCUGAGAGGAUGACCAGCCACACUGGAACUGAGACACGGUCCAGACUCCUACGGGAGGCAGCAGUGGGGAAUAUUGCACAAUGGGCGCAAGCCGUAUGCAGCCAUGCCGCGUGUGUGAAGAAGGCCUUCGGGUUGUAAAGCACUUUCAGCGAGGAGGCGUUACUCGCAGAAGAAGCACCGGCUAACUCCGUGCCAGCAGCCGCGGUAAUUC